ACACAAACCCGGGGCUUCCUGCAUGUUAGACACGCGCUUUACCAAUGGAGCUACACUCCCUAGACCCCCUCAGCCUCCAGAAUUCUAAAAACAAACUUCAUUUGUUAUAUUACCCAGCCUCCUCACAUUCCUCCCCACCUAACCAGCCUUCUUUCCAGCCAUACAAGGCAGAAUGCCUGCUCCUCCUAGGGACUCUCCUUGCUCUGUGGGCCUCAAGAUUCCUGCAGACUCAAACCACCCGUCCUCCCUGCCCAGCUGAAGCUAAGGACCCACUCCAUCAGACAGCAGGAACUUAAGUGUCAACGAAAGCAUGCUUCCUUUUUGCAAACAAGGAGACUCAGUGGGUCUGUGGAUCUGGGUCACCCCGCCCUUUGCGGUCUGGAAACUCUGCGCCCCAGGCUCCCAAGAUGGCCACCAGAGGGCGCACGAGCGCCGCCACGAGUGGGACCUCCGCCCCGUGCACGGGACCCAGGCCAGGGUGCUGCAGGGAGAUCAGACCCGGCCCAGCCACACGGUGCCCCUGAACAGGGUGGCCAAGUGAUCUGGCGCUGUGGAGGGGGCCAUCGCAAAGGCCCUCUCCAGAACCCGAGCCAACAGGGACCACCAGCCCGAGAACACAGUUGGGUCACUGUGUGACCUCCACCAGGUGCUGGCCCUACUUGAACUGGGUCUCUGGCGGUGACAGCGAGCACCGCCUGGGUAAUGGGGUACGAUUCCGAGGCUCCCUCCAGCGGGCAGUAGGGUAGAGGUGGCCUGGAGACCCUUGGAGGCUCCCAGCGGGGACUUAACGAGGGCCUUUUACGUGUCAAAGACGGUGGGAGCCGAGAGCCUCUAGGUCCUAGUGCACUCCUUUCCCCAGGCUGAGAUCUUGUCUGCUCAUGGCAACCACAUGAAGCCCACCUUUCUUUUCAGUAAGAAUCCUGUCCUGCCCGUAUGUAAACCUGCAUGGGAAAAAAAUAAUAAAUGUAAAAUGUCUCAGCGA